rnacentral:rRNA from 1 species
UGGGGAAUCUUGCGCAAUGCGCGAAAGCGUGACGCAGCAACGCCGCGUGCGGGAAGACGGCCUUCGGGUUGUAAACCGCUUUCAGUUGGGACGAAGCUCUUCCGGUUAAUAGCCGGCUGGAGUGACGGUACCUUCACAAGAAGCCCCGGCUAACUACGUGCCAGCAGCCGCGGUAAUACGUAGGGGGCAAGCGUUGUCCGGAAUCAUUGGGCGUAAAGAGCGUGUAGGCGGCCCGGUAAGUCCGCUGUGAAAGUCCAGGGCUCAACCCUGGGAUGCCGGUGGAUACUGUCGGGCUCGAGUCCGGAAGAGGAGUGUGGAAUUCCUGGUGUAGCGGUGAAAUGCGCAGAUAUCAGGAGGAACACCAAUGGCGAAGGCAGCACUCUGGGACGUGACUGACGCUGAGACGCGAAAGCGUGGGGAGCAAACA